rnacentral:rRNA from 1 species
AUUGAACGCUGGCGGCAUGCCUUACACAUGCAAGUCGAACGGUAACAGGUCUUCGGAUGCUGACGAGUGGCGAACGGGUGAGUAAUACAUCGGAACGUGCCCGAUCGUGGGGGAUAACGAGGCGAAAGCUUUGCUAAUACCGCAUACGAUCUACGGAUGAAAGCGGGGGAUCUUCGGACCUCGCGCGGACGGAGCGGCCGAUGGCAGAUUAGGUAGUUGGUGGGAUAAAAGCUUACCAAGCCGACGAUCUGUAGCUGGUCUGAGAGGAUGAUCAGCCACACUGGGACUGAGACACGGCCCAGACUCCUACGGGAGGCAGCAGUGGGUAAUUUUGGACAAUGGGCGAAAGCCUGAUCCAGCCAUGCCGCGUGCAGGAUGAAGGCCUUUGGGUUGUAAACUGCUUUUGUACGGAACGAAAAGCCUCUUUCUAAUAAAGAGGGGUCAUGACGGUACCGUAAGAAUAAGCACCGGCUAACUACGUG